UAAAAAAAAAACAGUCGAGGGGCAAAAUGGACAUUUUACCCCUCAACCCAUUAUAGGGGUCUCGAAGGUCCUCCACAGAAUUCCUGCAAAAGAAAGAAGUGUGAGAGAGAAGGAUUGAGAGAAAGUUUGAGAGAGAAAACUGAAUAGCCGGAGUUUUUCAGGAGAGUCGCCGACGGAAUCCAUCUCUUACGUAGACGUGCACUCUAGAGUUCUUCUUGGAGUGAAGUAAGAACUCGUGUUGAGAUUUCCCCCUCUUUUGUCAAGAUCAUAAGGAAAACCCGCAAGGGAAGAUACACUGCUGAUCUUGGUGAGGAAAUCGGACGAAACGUCGGGAUCUGAGAACCUUUCCAAGAACGGUAAGGAUGUUACCGGACCUCUUUCCGACGCUCAUAACUCACCGUAUGACUAAGCAAAAAUCAAGAAAAAAAUACUAGCACGUAGGUUGAUAGAUGAUCUAAAACUUUGUUGAAGAAAUUAUUUCUGUUUGGAUUAAGAAGCGAAAGAUAGAAAAUGGAGAGAACCUCGAAAAACUAAUCGGAAAAUCUUGAUUUUCUGCUAGGAGGAGAGAGAAGCCGCUGGCGUGCCACGUGCCAACCAACUAGAGGCCCGCGUGCGCCAAUCACCUUUGGACACGCGUCGAGUGCCGUCUGGGAAAACGUAGCUCCAGCUCUCCUGCGACACACGUCCCCAGCUUCGCAACCCGACCCGCACUCCUCGGCUGACCCGAUACCCGCACGGCGAACCGAGCCGAGCCAACGACCCGCGGUCCACCCGAACCACUGCUUCCGACCCGAACCCACGACUGCAGAAAUCUCUGGGCGCGUGACACUCGAGUGUGGAAUCUGCGAGUGGGCGCUCCCCGGCACGUGGAGGCGCGUAUAAGCUGAUUUUUGGCCCGUUCGACUUCUGUUUUCCCUAUUUUCCUCCUGAUUCCAAUCCUAAACCCAUUUUAUAUGAAAUAGGACCUAAUUGAGGAAAAAAUCACCGCCUCUCGAUACGCCAAGUGUGUGGAAACGCUGCGUAAGGGCACGCGCCAUCCAGGUACGUGAGGCGUCGAGUCAAGAGAGGGCGCGUUGAUCGAUGUGGGUUGUCACAGAGGAAGCGUGUCCCGGGGCGUCAGUCUAGUCAUA